rnacentral:rRNA from 1 species
UGAGUAACCUGCCCUUCACUCUGGGAUAACUCCGGGAAACCGGGGCUAAUACUGGAUAUGACUCGAACAGGCAUCUGUUUCGGGUGGAAAGAUUUUAUUGGUGGAGGAUGGACUCGCGGCCUAUCAGCUUGUUGGUGAGGUAAUGGCUCACCAAGGCGACGACGGGUAGCCGGCCUGAGAGGGCGAUCGGCCACACUGGGACUGAGACACGGCCCAGACUCCUACGGGAGCAGCA